ensembl:lncRNA
CAAGUUAAGUCACCUUCAUUUAUAUAGCGCUUUUAACAGUGUAGGCUGUUUCAAAGCAGCUUUACAGAUACAAAUGGAUAAUACUUGGUAUUAUCAAGUUAAUUAUCUAGCUUGGUAUUAUCUAGCUUUUUCUAGAUAAAGUUAGUUGUGAUUAAUUCACUUCCGUCACAAUGUUCAUUACCGUAAUAACUAGGUUUAUUUCUAGUGCAAAAAGACAAUGCAGUAACGUCCAAGUUUGACUACAGCAGGUGAUGAGAAAGACAAAAGCAGGUGAUGAGAAAGACAAAAGCAGGUGAUGAGAAAGACAAAAGCAGGUGAUGAGAAAGACAAAAGCAGGUGAUGAGAAAGACAAAAGCAAGUGAUGAGAAAGACAAAAGCAGGUGAUGAGAAAGACAAAAGCAGGUGAUGAGAAAGACAAAAG